CGUCUACGUACCUAGGCAUGCAACAUUUAAUGCUGUAUGCAAGGAGAAGGACAAAACCAUCCAUGUUUGUCCUGAAGUUGUACUUGGAAAGUGAAAACACCCACUUCAAGUCUGCAGCAUUGCUCCCUUUUCCAUGGUUUUCCAGCGAGCUCUUCUGUAAGCCCAUCUGCAUCCCCAGUAUUUCAUCUGCUAUUUCUCCACACUUUAUGCCCUGAGCCUGGAGAACGGAGUUUUUUUACUGCCGCCAACUCUUCCUCCUCCAACUCACACACUUGAUGGCUUGUUCUGCCAGCUUUUUAGGUGAAGCCUGAAUCACUUUCUCCAGAGACAUCCACAGAAUCACAGAAUAUUCUCUAUUGGAAGUGACCCACAAGGAUCCUCGAGACCAACUCUUCGCCCAUACAGGGAUUGAACCUACAACCUUGGCACUAUUAGCACAGUGCUCUGACCAGCUGAAGUAAAAUUGUGCACAAAGGGCACCAGAGGUGUUGGAGUCCGGGGCAUUCCUUUGUCUGCCCUGGAGGGUCAGGGACCUGGACAAACCCAACACAGAGGUGUGCUCAGAGGGGACCCUGGAUGCAGCAAGCACCUCUUUCAAGAUGCAGAGCACUUCAAUAGCCCACGUCUGUUAUAUUCAGUAGUAGAGGUAACGUCUGCAGGAUGUGAGGCAGCAGCUUGCAGAGCUCUGUGUGGGAAGAGGGGUGCCUCUUCCCAGAGAGGACUGUGCUCAAGGCAAGGGAUUCUGGAAGUUCCCAGGCUCACCAGAGAGGCUCUGAGGGACUGUAGGAUCCUCAGGCUUGGGUGCUGCUGUCCAGUAUAGGCUUUCAGGAUCCUUUGGCUACUUGGAAAUAGGUAGCCACAAGGGGCUACACAAGGGGAGUUUGGUGGUCUAAAUCUUGACUGAAUCUUUUUUUCACCUGAUUUUCCCUACACAAAAUGAUAAUUCUGCUGACAGUUUUGAAACCCAUCUGCUGCUUAUCCUUUGAUCUUCUGUUAUUCUUCUUGUCCUGCUUAAGCCCAUUUUGUAAAUUCGCUGGAUCAUAGUACUGGCGUUGCCUUCGAGCAGUCUUCAGAUGUUUCCUGAGGGGUGGUUUACCUUGAACCAUUCCAGCCCUUUCUUCUCUUUCUCUCCCCCCUCCCCUGCUCCAACUUCCCUUCACUAAGCUCAAACAAUGUAUCUCCUAAG